GUCUUUUUGCUCUGUUUGUGUAUUGCGUAGCACAGUGGAGUCCUGGUCCAUGACUAGGGCUCCAUAUGCACUACAGUAAUAUAAAUGAUAAAUAAUUUGCAUAGGGCAUGGAACAGCUUUCAGGUAACUAUAUUUUUUGCUACUGACCUGAGUCAGAUUUGAACAGGUGAUCUGACUAUUUCAAUCCUCUUUUCAUUUCCUUGGACUACUCAGCCCUUCCCAGGAAUAGUUUGCAAAUUUAUUUAUACAGUGCCCCAAAUGUGCAUGGCACUUCAGAGAAAUAAGACAUUUUCCCUGCCCUGAAGAGCUUACUAUCUGAAUUGACCAGAAGAAAUCGAGAAGUUUGGUAAACAUUGUGGUGGGGAGGAGAAGGGAAUACAGAGCUUGUAGCAUGCUGAUCAUGUGGUUGCCUUGGUGAAUGAAGUACUCCUGUUAGAUUAAAUUUUUAGUGUUUUUAGGCAUAUCCUUAAUACAACUUGUUGGUGUUAAGUCGUGAUCUGCGAUAGAAGAGAUGAAUGGACAGUAAAAUGAAGAGCAAAACAUGGGUACGGAUUUAGAAUGUACAUGUCCAUUAUUCGUUCUAGUGAUGUUUGCUGUUUGAAUCAGUGAGUCUCUUUCUGUUUCAAGUACUGAUUCAGCAAAGGGCCUAAGCCUACCCCUACUUAGGACAUCACUUAAGUGCUGUCCUGAACAGGAAUGUUUUCCUGAAUCCGGGCCUUAAUUAAUAGUGCUGUUUUCCUUUGACAUUUGCUGCAGUUGUCAAAGACUUGUGGUCACUACAGUGGAUUUUAAUUUCUAUUUUUGUUCUUACUGACUGUUUUCAGACUCUUUGGAGAUUGUGUGUUCGUUAGCAGGGGUCAGAAACUAACCUUUUCACUUGUCCCAAGAGACUAAGUGCUGCAGUGUCCAGAGCUUUCAAGCUUUCCAUUGAUCAUGUCAGAAGAAGCUGCAAUAGAAUCUGUCUAAUUUUAGGAAUAGUGGUAUUUAUAACAAUUUUUUCCACAGGAACACGCCAGCUUGCAGGACCCUAACUGGUGUCAGUUUGAUCAAGCUUUCCGAAUCGAAUUAAAAGUAGGAUUACUUUGUUGGGGUAAACUUUAGGAGGAUUAGCUAUUUUAUCAAUGCCCUGUAUAUGUAUUAAGCAUUUAUGUACCUGUCUAUUGUAAAGCACCUUAUUGUGCGAUAUAAACAGGGGUCUCAAAUGUUCAGUAUGGAUCACAUUUCAUUACAAAGGGUAUCUUCCCUCCGCCCCCAUUUGCAAUCUCCUAACAUCUCUGUGGCAACUACAUUGGAUAAGUCAUGCUAGGGGAACAUUUAAUUCAUGUUUAGCUGUCUUUUAAUGCAGUGCAACAGGUGGAAAUGAGGAGAGCCAGCACCAUGUGGCCAGCAAGUAAUUUCUCUAGAGCCUUGUAAAGCUGUAAAAACUUUUGUGUGUAGACGGGUAUCAUGAAAGCAGUACAACCACACCCUAGUAUGGAUAUAGUUGCACUGGUAUAAAGGUGCUUAUGCCAGUAUAGCUUUUUUAUAUGGGAAGGGGAAUAGAGGUGUAUCCCUAUAAGGCAACUUUAUACAUACUCAUAGGCUUUCAGGCCAGAAGGGACCAACAUGAUCAUCUUGUCUGACCUCCUGCACAUUGCAGGCCACAGAACCUCACUCACCCUCUCCUGUAGUAGGCCCAUAACCUCUGGCUAAGUUACAGAAGUCCUCAAAUCUUGAUUUAAAGACUUCAGAUGUAUAACUGUGUCUACGCUAGGUGGGUUGUACUGGUGUAAUUAUAUUGAUUGACACCCCCCUCCCCACCCCCCCAACCAACCAAGAUUGGUACAAAAACUGUGUGCAGACCGGGCCUAAAAGUGUCAGUAUAGACCGUAACCUCUGUCUUAGUUUUAUCCCUUAGAACCUUGUCUGGAACUUCUAGGAGGUUUCCACCAUCCCUUUUUUAACCCCAUUCUUCAAACUCUGCAUGCAUUUGAGCUCUGGUUGUGAAUAGGAUAAAUAUGGCCAGGGACUUCCUGGGUGACUUGCACUGGUUGAAGGCAAAUGGCCCUACCUCCUUUCUUAGAUUAAUUGUAUGUAACUGCCCAACUUGAGUGUUGCAUUGAUAACUUAGCAGGAGUCCUCCCCAUUUCAAUAAAAGUCAUUGCACAGCUGUUUUUCUCUUUAAUAUGAUAGUAUAACUGUGUGGAGACUAAAAGCAGUGCAAUCUGUUCAAGGUGGAGCACUGUAUAUGCUGGGAUUUGUGGGUGUUGCAGCUCCAGAAUAAAGAUGGAGGCGCAUGUUUUAAAACUCCAUGAGCCGCACUCAGUCAAUGCUUAGUUUAGAUACAUUGCUUGCAUAUCAGUAUUGUCUAGUAUAUAUUAGAUUGCAAACCAUUCAAUAGCUGUUUUCUAAACUUCUUUUGUUUAAGGACCUUGGGUCUGUUUGGAUGUGUCUUUAUCUUAAGCAUUGAUACCAGUAAGGGGCAAUAAAUGUCAGGUAUUUUCAUGAUGGAAUAGAUUGAUAUAGAUGGAAACUCAUUAUGAGAUUCCAAAUGGUUCAGCUAUUAAAAUUUCUGUGCAGAGGUAGUUGAAGGCAGUCUAAUUGCCUCCCUGCCCACGUUCUUCAUUAGCAUGGACUUUCACUAGGCAUUUCAUUACCUACCCCCCCACCCACAGCUGAUUGUUCAGACUCCAUUUCUGUUAUUAACUGAAUAGGUCACAAGCCACGUAGAUGCAGUCUCUUUGCUAGUUAGAACCAGAACUACAUACUAGGAGGCCUUUUUUCUAAAAUUAUGCCUGUGAAUGUACUUUACUAUUGCAACACACCCAUAAAAGCCUUAAAUCCCUUCUCCAAACUGGUUCUUUUGAAUAUCAUAAAAUACAGAUUGACCCUAUGUGGGGCUGCAAGAGAGGCUUGUCUGUAGUGCUCAUCAUGUCUUAGAGUAUGUCACCAGCAUUGAAGAACUUAUCUUCUUAAUGCCCUUCUGAGUUAGGGAAAUUAUCCCCAUUUACAGAUGAAGACUUGAGGCACAGAGAGAUGAGGUGAAUUGGCCCAGGUCCUACAGGAAGUCUUUGCCUGCAUCCUCACUGGAAACGCAGCUUCCAGCCUGAGUUCAAAUGAAGUCUGGGCUUUAACCCAUAUCCCCAGCCACACAAGCCAGAUCAGGUUUAUAGCACCUCUCCAGUCUUGGGUCAGAGGCUUUUCAGUGUGGACAAUUACGGGAAUCUCAGGUUAAUUGUAUAGUAUAGACAUAUGCUGAGUGGCUGAGCGAGGAACUGAAUCUAGAUUCCCAGAACAUAGGUCAUAGUUCACUGCUAGUCUGUCGUAUAGCUCUUUAAUCAGUUCUUCCAAAGCAAAUGUAAGAAAAAAUAAUCAGUUAUGGUUGUAUGAAGGGCAAAAAUUAGACCGCAAGACCCUUUCUGGUGGUCAGAUGUAUUUUUUUAAAAAACCCACCUCUAAAAACGUAAAACAGCAUUUGUUUUUGUUUUUGUUUUACAAGUUGAGGGUUGGGGAAGAGAAGGAAAGGUAAUACGUUGUUCAGCUGUGUGCGGUUUUAAAAACUUUUAAAAGUCGGGAGAAAGGAAAUGAGAAAAACUUCUCAGGGAAGUGAGUUCUUCACUCCAGGCCCUGAGACAAGGAAGGCUUGCUUAUAUACCACCAAGAAGUGGGUGGUGUCUGACUGCAGCUGUGUAUUGGGUCAAGGCAAUAAUCUUGAAUACAGCCAGGGUCUGUAUUUUAAAGACCUUGAAAAACAAAAAAGGAAAAAAAAAAGUAAUUUAAAAAUAUUAGACUGAAAAAUAUUCCAAGGGAAAUGGUGGCAAGUCCCAUAGUUCAAGUCGUUUAUAACUAGAUUGGGAAAAGACCUGGAGAAUACAGUGUAGCAACACUUGAAUUAUCAUAAGGAGGGGUGGUACAGAUGGCCACUAGGUCUCUUCUGUGUCCAGCUCCUAGGGGCUUGUCUACACUUAAAACACUGCAGCAGUGCCUCUGUAGUGCUUCAGUGAAGACACUACCUACGCCGACGGAAGAGGUUCUUCCAUCGACAUAGGUAAUUCACCUUUCUGAGAGGCGGUAGCUAAGUUGAUGAAGGGUAUGGCUACACUGGAAACUUCAAAGCGCUGUUAUGAGAGCGCUCCCGCGGCAGGGCUUUGAAGUGUGAGUGUGGUCGCGCAUGAGCACUGGGAGAGAGGUCUCCGAGCGCUCCUGGUAAUCCACCUCCACGAGGGGAUUAGCUCUCAGCGCUCGGAGCCUGUUUACACUAGCGCUUUAAAAUGCUCUGACUUGCUGCCCUCAGGGGGGUGACUUUUCACACUCCUGAGCCAGCAAGUUAGAGCGCUAUAAAAUGUAAGUGUAGCCAAGCCCGAAGGAAUUCUCUCAUUAACCUAGCGCUGUCUACAGCAGGGUUUAGGUCAGUUUAACUGCAUUGCUCAGAGGUGUGGAUUUUUCAUGCCCUUGAGCAAUGUAGUUAUGCCAACCUAAUUUCCUAAUGUAGACCAGGCCUACCAUUCUGUGAGGAGUCCUGUCAUGUCUUGUAGAGGAGCCAGUAUGAAGGGAAUACUGAGAGGCCUUUUCUGUGCUUUUUAGCAGCUGUAAAAGUAUUCAGACUCAAUUAGCUGUAAAUUUGUUCAACAAAUGUAAACAAAAGAGAAACUUGUUGCUGAUCAGUGUUUGAAAGGUUGUCAGUUGACAUGCAGAUGGCCUGUGUUCAUUAAGUUUACAUAUUAAACAUAUGGUCUGAUAGGCUUCUGUUCCUAAUUCCUAGGAAGUAUUUAUGUAAGAAGAAGAUGCAUACUGAUUGCAUGUUAAAAGACUCUUGCGGUUGAAUUUUAGUGCGCCUGACAUUUUGUUCCUUUUUAUCUCUUGGCAAUGUGUUUCGGGAAGUUCUCUAUUAAAAAUAUGUAUCUACUUUUCACAUUUUUUUUCUAAAGCAGUUAUACCUCUUGUCACACAUACGGAGAACCAGACUUCCAAAUCAUAAAUAUUCUGCAGCCUCUGUGUUAAUCCACCAAUCUGGAUUUGUCUGCUCUCAGGUAUCCUGAAAGAAAUCUAUUUCUUGGCACCUUGAGGUAUUAUAUAAUCACGUUGCCUGCUCUGAAUUCUUGCUUCAGUAGAAGCCCAGCAGCUGCAGUUCUGCCGAUCUCAUGGAAAGAGUCAGUAGAAAGAGUAGGAGAUGAUACACUUAUGCGUCCUUUAUUUUAUCAGUCCAGAAUUCUUUUAUGUCCUUUCUAGCAGUGGAAGAGUUGGGGCUUAGGGUCUCAGGUUUGUCGUCUUUGCUGAAUUGAGGAGUAAAGAGAAUGAAAAACCUUCAUGAUUUGCUUUCCAAUGUGCUCCAGAAUUAUCAGAAAGAGAGCCAAUAUCUGAGCUCUGGUCUUCCUCUGGUCCGUCAUUUAUCUCUGAUCCUCUCAGUCUGGAAUAUAACCCUUAAACACAGCCUUUUCAGAUCGACUCAGAGUUGAUGCAGUCACCUCCUAGCUUUUGACUUAAUUGGCCAAAUCUAUUGAUAUGCAUUGUCUUGAGAAUUACAUCCCUGCUGAAAAACAGUUCAAGCAAGCCUGUCAGCAGUGACAAAUCUUGUCCUGUUAUAGCCCUUCUAAAUGUGAGAAGACAGCUCAGGGGGAGCAGAGCCUUUAGAAUAUUCAGCAACCUUUAGACUAUAAGUCAUGUGUCACCUUUUAAAAUGAAGUUCCAGGCCUAGGGUGACCAGACUGCAAGUGUGAAUAAUUGGGACUGUGGUGGGGGUAAUAGGUGCGUAUAUAAGACAAAGCCCCAAAUGUUGGGACUGUCCCUAUAAAAUUGGGACAUCUGGUCACCCUAUCCAAGCCUUUUCUGUAGAGUAAUUCUACAAGAUUUAGGGGAAUGUCCAGUAGGCUUCUGUUAACAGGGAAAGUGAAUGUUACUGACUUGAGGGUUUUAGGCAAACUCUUAAAGUUACAGUUUUGGAAAGUAUGUAUUGUAAUUUUAACUGGGUUUUUAUUGAAAUUGUGUAUGAAGGAAACCUGUUUAAUGAAUUUGUUCUGGUAGGUUCUUCAAAUUUGAACUCAAAAGAUCUGUUGCUAUGGUCACUGUCUUUCAAUUAGCCUUUCAUCAAGGGUCUGGGGAUUUUAAAGGAAGGAGUGUCUCUGAGCAGGGGACGGAGAGUCUGGACUUUUGACUCUGACCUAGACCACAGCAAGGCAAGGGCAAAUAGAUGUAUUAACCUCUCUCUACAUUGGUAUCCUCCUUCUGUAAAAUAACCAUUCCACCUCGCAGACCUAAUGGCUUGACAUUGUGUUUUGGGAUCCACAGGUGAAAGGAGGUGGAGAAUUGCCUAGAGUUAAAAACUACCUCUGAUCCCUGCUGCCUUGCUAAACUGAAAAGCUUUUCAGGGUGGUGUCAACUUUUGGGUGUCAGUCUGGAUUACACUCAAAAUUUAGCAUUAUUGAAAUGCUUUCCACUUUUUAAUACUCCAGGUAAUAAUAGUUAAAUAAAUCAUUCUAUAAACAUACUGCAAGUUCUUCUGUCUUCUGGUUUUCCCAGGGUGCCCCCUCUUCUGAACCUGUCCUUUAGAUUAUAAUCCCUCCAUGGUGGGAAGUGCCUUAUUAGUUCUGCAGAGUUCUGAGCGUGCUAUUGCACUUGACAAAUAAUUUAUAAUAGAUCUCUCCAAAGGGCUCCCUCUUAUCCACUGAACUAUCCAGUUAAUUAUGUAGUAAUGCCCUGUUGGUUGCAAAUUCUAAUAAGCUUUAAAAUGGUGUAGGCUUAGGGUUGUAUGUUACUUGUUUGUUUAUUUAUAAGACCCACUUCUGCUUCAAAGCUACAAGAAAUUAGACGAUUAUGGCUAAGUAGAAGAACAGUUGGGGAUAGGUUAUACAUACAAAGGAAAAAAAAUACAGCUAAUAAUCUCUCGUAGAUGAUGGAAUUAACAAUGUGUGUAUCACGCAUCAUGUUGGCCAUUCUGUUUAUAUGUAGUAACCCAUUCACCCACCCUUCUUUGGUUUUAUAGAUUUAAAGGUCUUUGAGGUAGGGCAGUGAUAUUCAGGGCUUGUACACAGUAGCACUUACCUCGGGGAUAAUUUAAGUCGCUCAGGGGUGUGAAAAAACCACCUCCCUGAGCAAUGCAAGUUACGCAGACCUGAGCGCUGAUGUGAACCGCGGCCAGCAUAACUACUGCCGCUUGAGGAGGUGGAGUAAUAACGCUGAUGGGAAGGCGCUCUCCCAUCGUUACUAGCAGUGCAGCUGGGUCGGUACAGCCUGUGCCACUGCAGCGAUUCUAGUGUAGACUAGCCCACAGAGUGUGAUUCUCGAGCUGCACGUGGUUCUUUAAUGUGUCUCCUGUGGCUCCUUGCUGCACAUGGUAGUAAAACACUGCGUGAUUUAAUUAACAACCAAUCAGGAUGCUUUUACUACAUUAUUAACCUAUUGUAGAUGAUAAAAUAAUACUUGGUCAGUCAUUUUGCUGUGAGAAUAAUCUGUGUAUAUAUAUAUAAAAUAUAUUUAGGGAUAGAGAUAAUACUUAGGCCCGCCUUGAGUCAGGGGACUGGAUGAGAAGACCUUUCGAGCUCCCUUCCAGUCCUAUGGAUUCUAUCGAUAUAUCUAUAUAAACCAGAUAUUUCCCUUUUCAUCCUGUUUAAAUAUGAUUAUAAAGCACUAUAGUAAAGGUCUGAGUAUCACUAGGGUAGGGAUUGUCUUGCUAUAAGUUCAUUAUUUAUUUUUAUUUAUAUUACUGUGGUGCCUAGUUCAGUGCCUAAAACAUUGUGGGGGCUUCCCCAGUAUAAAUAUUUAUUUCUCUAGCAGCUAACAGACAGAAAAGAAGACAUAGUCCCGGCUCUGAGGAGCUUGCAAUCCCAGGCUUCAAUCCUGCAAAAAUUUAGAAACGUGUUUAAUUUAAUUUGUCUUUGAUGGGACUGCUUGCGUGCCUGAAGUUCAGCACACACAAUAGUCAUGUGAAAGAGCUGUAAGUGAAGAGACCUGAUCAACACAAUAUCAUGGAGUACGUAUUGGUAUGGCUUGGCACGCAUAGCAUGUACUGGAUUUGUUUUAAAUGGUUUUCCUAUAACAACUUUGAUUUUUUUUUUUUUUCAAUUAAUAGACAGGAAUGCAAGGAGACAAGUAGUGGAAGAAGGGAAGCUGAAAGAAGUGAGCUGUUAAGGCAGAGAGAGGGCAAAAGUGGUGCACUGAAUCAGAGAGGGCACCCCAACUAUAGAGAGGAAUGUAGGAAAAGGUGUAGAGAUGCGAAUGGGAGAAGACAGUGUCUGAUAGGUGAAGAGAUUGGUAGUGUUACUUCCUGCAAGGAUUUGGGCCCAGAAGCACUGAAGCCAUACUUUUCAAUGUAACUGGGGCGAUUAAAAUGACAGUGCAGAGCCUUACUGUUAAACAUUUUGUCUGUGUCUAUCCUCCUGGGUUUACACAAAGAAUGUGUAAAUUAUGGCUGCUUCAGCAGGACAGAGCAAUGAUGCUGUAAUGCUUGUGUGUGCAUUUGAGACUGGAUGGAGUUCACAAAAUUUAAUCCUCUAUUCUCUGUCUUUGAGGGUAGGGGAGAGAUUUUAGCUGAGUGUUUUUUUCUUUGAAUUCUCUUGCUCUUUUGAGCUCUCCUGGGUUUUCCACUGGGCUCCUUAUAGUUUAGGAAUAAAAUGAUCUGAGCAAAUUGGAACAGUAACAUCAGCAAUAGACUUCUGUGUUAGUACUAACUAUCUCUACUGAGCUAGUGCUGCUAGUGUCUGUUUUGGUUUCCUAAUCAGAAAGGUUCGUCCCUCUAUUCUUAUAUAUGUUCUAGAGCAACACGAUGCAAUUCACUACCCAUGAUAAUUUUCUUGCCUUCACAGAUAUAAUUCGGGUUUUAAAAUGCUUAAUUUGGAAAAUUCCCACUGAUUUCCCUUGCUCAACUCCCUAAGUAAUUUCCUGGUGUGAGAAAGCCAGUUAAACCAAUAGGCUAUGUCUCAUCUUAGUGUUUGCCCCUGUUUUGGGCCGUUAUUUGUCCAUUUCAUAAUUUUCUUAGUUCUGAGAGGCUAUGAAAGUUGAAAAAAGGAGUCUGAAUUAGGUCCUGAAAGACCCUCCAAAAUAUUUGCAAUCACAGCAAAGCUCUGAACCUACAUACUCUAGGGCCUGGUCUAGAGUACAAAGUUGUGUCAAAGUUGCCUUUUCCACCACAGGCUUGCAUAUGUCCACACCCAAAUUUCACUCCUACCACCAUAGCCCAGACUUUGUCACCAGAAUAAAACCACCUCCCUGACAACUCAAGUCCUCAGCCAAUGUACUUCCACUGGCAAAAUGCCAGCAUGGACACCACAUUACCUGUGCUGGUAAAACAGACCUUUUCCCCUCACCCCACUAUCCCUCUGGAUUCCUUGCCCCUGCUUGGCGGGGACCCCCCCCCCUCCUCCAAUGUGAUGGGACAUGUUGUGAGAUCCAGAGGAGAGAACCUCGGCAGUGCCCAGCAAGGAUGAACUCAUAGAAGAGGGGGAUGCAGACCCCAUGGAGGGCCAGAACAUGAUUCAGACAAGCGACAGCGAGGAAGGGGAAUGGAGCACAGCCUUCUUGGCCAGGCUAUCCUUAAGAAGCACCCCUUGCACAGCUGCUGAAAGGCUGGCAUUGAUCAGGAGAAGAAAGAAGCGGACAAGGGAGGAUAUGUUUUCAGAGCUUCUCCAACUCUGAGGCUGCUGACUGGGAGAGUAGCGAUUGGAGGGUAAUGCAUGAUGGAGACUGGGCAGAAGGACCAGAACUGGAAUGAUCAUAUGCUCAGAGAAGGCAGAGGGACUGAGAGGUGCAUCAGGAAAUGCCCCAGGACAUUGACUCUGCUCAGACAACAAAUACAGAUGUUGCAUAAUAUUAUGGAGCAAAAUGCCCAAAGACCUCCCUAUCAGCUUUUUGCACUCAGUAGACAAUUUGAUGUUCACAAUACCACACCCCAAACAAGGCACGAGCAUAGCCUGCCGUCUUAUCCCUACCACUCAACAGUGGUGGAAACAAGGAAAACUAUGACUAUACAUACCCAGAUCUGCUGGAUCAGUCAGCAAGCGCCUAGCUCUUUAUUUUUUAAUAUACAGUAUACAAUAAAAGUGUAAAGCUCAUAAGGUUUUUAUUUAAGGUUUCAUAAGUGUUGAUAAUGCUCAGUAAAAAUUAUUUUUUGAAAAACCAGUCUGUUGGGUAAGGUUUAGGACUAAAGGGCUACCCCUCCCACUAAAUUCAUAAUAGGCAUUUAUAAAUCAUUUAAAAAAAAAAAUUUAAACCAAUGACACACAAGCACCACACUGCAAUACCAUGGCAUACCUUAGUGAUCUUUUAAGGCCUCCUUCAGCCAUACAGCUCCUCAACAGGCUUGUGUGUCGGGCUGUUCAUAAUCAGCAGGCAGUCUUGCCACUUCACCCCUCCACCUUGCUGGUAAUGUUUCCCCCUUUGCUUCACAAAUAUGUUGUAAUUUGCAACCUUCAGCAAAAACAAUAGGAAUAUUUACUUGGCUGCAAUCCACCGUUGGCGUGAGGGAUCACCAAUGUCCUUUCAGUCUACCAAAUGCGUGUUCAACAGUUGUCCUGCACCCACUCAGUUAAAUCUCUCUUUGCUGUUGUCCAGAAGUCCAGUGUAUGGUUUCAGGAGCCAGAGCUGCAAAGGGUAGGGUGGGCCCCCAGAAUCACUGUUUGGUGUUUCAACCUUACCAAUGUGAACAUACUGGUUUAGGAGGAAUGUCCCUGGCUGCAUCUUUUGGAAACAUCCUGUACUCCUAAAGAUGCGAGCAUCAUGCACCUUUCCUGACCAGCUAGUGUUAAUGUCAGUGAACUGUCCUCAGUGAUUCUCCAGCUCUUACAUAACGAUGCUAUUUAAGUAUUUGGAAUUAAGACGGGGGGAGGGAGAUGCAAUAUUGGGAUGUGUCCUAUCAAUUACCCAACCACAGUUUGGAAAGACCCUUUCUUCCAAUCUGUAUAUUUCCUGCGCCUUGCCGGAGUGUCUCAAUCCAGUGCAGCAGGAGGUGCUAAUGGCCGUGCACAGCUGGAUGACAACUACCUCACCAUGGAUUUUCCAGUCCUGAACUAAUUACCCACUGAUCAACAGCAGUUCUGGCUUGCAGAUUUCCGGAAAGCGAUCACCACCCACUUUUCCACUGUCAAAAUAGCUCUCUUUCUGGUGUCUCUGCCUACAGAUCCAGGAAUGUGACAGUCUGCAUCUGAAUGUUCUGUAGCCACUACCGAUCUCCACCAUCCAUUGUUCAUUUCUCAGGCCCACAUGUACCCCUCCAUCAUAUAGUGCUGAGCAGUGAAUGCUUACAACAUCCUGUGACCUUUUUUUUUUUAAAAUGCACUGUUUGCACCAUC